UACGUAGGGUGCAAGCGUUGUCCGGAAUUACUGGGCGUAAAGAGCUCGUAGGUGGUUUGUCGCGUCGUCUGUGAAAGCCGGGGCUUAACUCCGGGUCUGCAGGCGAUACGGGCAUAACUAGAGUGCUGUAGGGGAGACUGGAAUUGCCUGGUGGUAGCGGUGAAAUGCGCAGAUAUCAGGAGGAACCACCGAUGGCGGAAGGCCAGGUCUCUGGGCAGUAACUGGACGCUGAGGAG
rnacentral:rRNA from 1 species